rnacentral:rRNA from 1 species
CCACCUGAUUUCCAUGCCGAACUCAGAAGUGAAACGAAUUAGCGCCGAUGGUAGUGUGGGGUUUCCCCAUGUGAGAGUAGGACAUCGCCAGGC